rnacentral:rRNA from 1 species
GGUGAACGCUGGCGGCGUGCUUAAGACAUGCAUGUCGAACGGCAGUCUUCGGACUGUAGUGGCGCACGGGUGAGUAACGCGUAACUGACCUACCCCAAAGUCGCGGAUAACGAUUCGAAAGAAUCGCUAAUACGUGAUGUGCUGUCAGAUUGUGUUCUGCCAGUAAAGAUUGAUUGCUUUGGGAGGGGGUUGCGUUCCAUCAGCUAGUUGGUGGGGUAAAGGCCCACCAAGGCGACGACGGAUAGCCGGCCUGAGAGGGUGGCCGGCCACAGGGGCACUGAGACACGGGUCCCACUCCUACGGGAGGCAGCAGUUAGGAAUCUUCCACAAUGGGCGAAAGCCUGAUGGAGCGACGCCGCGUGAGGGAUGAAGGUCUUCGGAUCGUAAACCUCUGAAUCAGGGACGAAAGACACUUCGGUGGGAUGACGGUACCUGAGUAAUAGCACCGGCUAACUCCGUGCCAGCCGCCGCGGUAAGAC